rnacentral:rRNA from 1 species
AUGAACGCUAGCUACAGGCUUAACACAUGCAAGUCGAGGGGCAGCAUUUUAGUUUGCUUGCAAACUGAAGAUGGCGACCGGCGCACGGGUGAGUAACACGUAUCCAACCUGCCGAUAACUCCGGAAUAGCCUUUCGAAAGAAAGAUUAAUACCGGAUAGUAUACGAAUAUCGCAUGAUAUUUUUAUUAAAGAAUUUCGGUUAUCGAUGGGGAUGCGUUCCAUUAGUUUGUUGGCAGGGUAACGGCCCACCAAGACUACGAUGGAUAGGGGUUCUGAGAGGAAGGUCCCCCACAUUGGAACUGAGACACGGUCCAAACUCCUACGGGAGGCAGCAGUGAGGAAUAUUGGUCAAUGGGCGCGAGCCUGAACCAGCCAAGUAGCGUGAAGGAUGAAGGCUCUAUGGGCCGUAAACUUCUUUUAUAUGGGAAUAAAGUUUUCCACGUGUGGAAUUUUGUAUGUACCAUAUGAAUAAGGAUCGGCUAACUCCGUGCCAGCAGCCGCGGUAAUACGGAGGAUCCGAGCGUUAUCCGGAUUUAUUGGGUUUAAAGGGAGCGUAGGUGGAUUGUUAAGUCAGUUGUGAAAGUUUGCGGCUCAACCGUAAAAUUGCAGUUGAAACUGGCAGUCUUGAGUACAGUAGAGGUGGGCGGAAUUCGUGGUGUAGCGGUGAAAUGCUUAGAUAUCACGAAGAACUCCGAUUGCGAAGGCAGCUCACUAGACUGUCACUGACACUGAUGCUCGAAAGUGUGGGUAUCAAACAGGAUUAGAUACCCUGGUAGUCCACACAGUAAACGAUGAAUACUCGCUGUUUGCGAUAUACAGUAAGCGGCCAAGCGAAAGCAUUAAGUAUUCCACCUGGGGAGUACGCCGGCAACGGUGAAACUCAAAGGAAUUGACGGGGGCCCGCACAAGCGGAGGAACAUGUGGUUUAAUUCGAUGAUACGCGAGGAACCUUACCCGGGCUUAAAUUGCAACAGAAUAUAUUGGAAACAGUAUAGCCGUAAGGCUGUUGUGAAGGUGCUGCAUGGUUGUCGUCAGCUCGUGCCGUGAGGUGUCGGCUUAAGUGCCAUAACGAGCGCAACCCUUAUCUUUAGUUACUAACAGGUUAUGCUGAGGACUCUAGAGAGACUGCCGUCGUAAGAUGUGAGGAAGGUGGGGAUGACGUCAAAUCAGCACGGCCCUUACGUCCGGGGCUACACACGUGUUACAAUGGGGGGUACAGAAGGCGGCUACCUGGUGACAGGAUGCUAAUCCCAAAAACCUCUCUCAGUUCGGAUCGAAGUCUGCAACCCGACUUCGUGAAGCUGGAUUCGCUAGUAAUCGCGCAUCAGCCAUGGCGCGGUGAAUACGUUCCCGGGCCUUGUACACACCGCCCGUCAAGCCAUGAAAGCCGGGGGUACCUGAAGUACGUAACCGCAAGGAGCGUCCUAGGGUAAAACUGGUAAUUGGGGCU